GCUGUAUUCUAGUCCACUUAACUGCACCCUAGUGUACUCUAAUGUAGAUGACUAAUACCCUCAGAGACUGUCCCCCAACAUCUCGUCUUUUAAGAGGAAAGGAACCCGGGAGAAGAUGUCGAUACACUUCUUUAAACUCUGAGGCUUUCUGAGUCUUGACUGGUAAACCUUAGGGUGCAUUUUGUUUGUCAGAUUUCUGUCCCUCUAUCCACAUUCCCACUUCCUCAAACCCCUUCAUUGCCAUUCUCCUCCUGUCCACCAGAUGCACUCUGACUUUUCCUCCUGUCCCUGUCACCUCCCUCUCACAUCCAGCCACUCCCUCCUUAGUCACCUGACCUUCCCCACCCACUCACUCACCUGUUCCCACUUCCUUCUUCAGCCCUGCAGAGAUCUAACCAGCCUUUUCCCAUUCACUCCCUGCCAUGUUGCACCAGCCUCUGGAUUUGUUUGCCUGUUUGGACUGCCUUCCUGUUGCCAACCUGUACCUGUUCCUCAACCCUUACCUCUACCUGCCUGCCUGGAAUUAUGAAUAAUUCGGGUCCAAACACACAAUCCUGCUUAAGGGGACACCAGGAAAAGACCUGCUCUGCGCUGCUGAGGCGCUAUGUGCCAAAUCCAAACCAGAAACCAGAAACCAGAAGCAGCUGGGAGAGAUCAAUAAUUCAUACACACCAUGCAGGUCGAGCCUGGUGACGUUUACUGUACUUCUUCCUGCAUUGGUGCUUCUUAUGCCUAUAUGACCAUAAUAAUAAUAUUAUUAUUAUGAGGAGUAAUGAAGGAAGAAUUCAGCACUGCAAAAAAAAAAAUACCUCAUUGAAAACGUUACCAAAUUAAAAGUAUUACUUAUCCAAAAUAAAA